rnacentral:lncRNA from 10 species
CCGGGAGGUGGAGGUUGCAGUGAGCUGAGAUUGUCCCACUGCACUCUGGCCUGGGCGACAGAGUGAGACUCUGACUCAAAAAAAAAAAAAGGACUUUUAGGGUUCUAUCCUGGAGGGUUAGGGGCAGGUGAUGGUGCCAGCUAUAGAGGGGGGAAGUGAUGAUUUAGGAGGGAAGAUAAUGAGGUAAUCUUGCACAUCUUACAUUUGAGGUGCCCAUGGUGCCCUCCAAUUGGAGAUGCCCAGGGUGAGGGUUCAGAGCAGAGCCACUGGGUACAGAUAGUCCUCAAGACUGGGGUAUCAGCCCUCCAAUAGAGGAGCUAAGGAAGCAGCCAUUUUGAUGAGUGUUUUCCUGCAAAUCCUCCCAGCCUAAGAGUAGAUUUUUGCCUUCCCUUAUGGAGCAGAUGGAGGUCUUGAGGGCAGCAAGGUGCUUAGUCCUCUCUGUCUCAACAGCUUCUAGCUCACCAGAAGAGAGGAAAUUUAAGAAAAAGAUGACACAUUCCAUCUCUAACCUGCUGAGUCAUAGAGACGGGGGAGUACCAAUGGGGAAAUGUCCAUUCAGAUGGAUUCUGAACUCUAUCCAGGCAACUGAAAGCCUGGGACUAGACCUAUAGACUUGGGUAGUACCAGCCUAUAGAUGGUGGUAGCAACCAUGAGAGUAGAUGAGAAUGCCCAAAAAGGGUGUGUAUUGUCAUAAAAGUCAUGCGCCCAGGACUACAUCCUGAAGAACUACAGCAUUCAAGGUAGAGAAGUAGCAAAAAGGGAGAGCAUAAAGGUGACAGAGGGAAUAGUCAGAAACUUUUUUUUUUUGAGACAGAGUCUCAUUCUGUCACCCAGGCUGGAGUGCACUGGCGCCAUCUCAGCUCACUGCAAAUCACUGCAACCUCCACCUCCCAGGCUCAAGUGAUUCUCAUGCCUCAGCCUCCCAAGUAGCUGGGACUACAGGCUCACGCCACCACGCCUAGCUAAUUUUUGUAUUUUUAGUAGAGAUGGAGUUUCACCAUGUUGACCAGGCUGGUCUCAAACUCCUGACCUCAGGUGAUCCGCCCGCCUUGGUCUCUCAAAGGGUUGGGAUUACAGGCGUGAGCCACCACGUCCAGCCAAUAGUCAGAAACUUUGGAAGUUAUUCAGGAGAGUAAAGUGUCAUAGAAGCCAACAGAACGGAAUUUCAUGGAGUGGAGUGAUCACAAAUGUCAGAUAUAGCAGAGAUCUGCCACAACAAAAACACCUUCAGGUAUUGUCAUUGGGAUUUCACUGGUGACCUUACAAAAGUUUUUUCCAGUAGACUGGUGAGAAUGGAAACCGAAAUUCAAAUUGCACUGACGGGUGGCUGAGAGACAAGCAUAGACAGUGAGCAUAGACUGUUAUUUGGGGGAAGUAUAAUAUACCUUUGUUUAUUCAUUCAAUAAAGAUUUAUUGGCCAGGUGUGGUGGCUUAUGCCUGUUCGGAGCACUCUGGGAGGCUGAGAUGGGUGGAUCACCUGAGGUCCGGAGUUCAAGACCAGACUGGCCAAUAUGGUGAAACCCUGUCUCUACUAAAAUUACAAAAAUUAGCCAGGUGUGGUGGCACAUGCCUGUAAUCCCAGCUGCUUGAGAGGCUGAGGCAUGAGAAUCGCUUGAAACUGGGAGGCAGAGGUUGCAAUGAGCUGAGAUCGCGCCAUUGCACUCCAGCCUGGGUGACAGAGUGAGACUCUGUCUCAAAAAAAAAAAAAAAAAAAAAAAAAAUUGAUGGCCUAUCUGGCCCUGUACUAGGUGAUGAUGAACAACAAAGCAACGAACAGAAACAAAGUCUAGCCAGGCACCAUGGCUCAUGUUAAUUCCAGCAUUUUGGAAGGCUGAGGCAGGUGGAUUGCUUGAGCUCAGAGGUUUGAGACCAGGCUGGGCAACAUUGAGACCCUAUCUCUAUUAAAAAAUAAAAAAUUUAAAAAUUAAAAAAAAAUUUUGGCUGGGCGCUGUGGCUCACGCCUGUAAUCCCAGCACUUUGGGAGGCCGAGGUGGGCGGAUCACCUGAGGUCGGGAGUUUGAGACUAGCCUGACCAACAUGGAGAAACCCCAUCUCUACUAAAAAUACAAAAUUAGCCAGGUGUGGUGGCACAUGCCUGUAAUCCCAGCUACUCGGAGGCUGAGGCAGGAGAGUCGCUUGAAUCUAAGAGGUGGAGGUUGCAGUGAGCUGAGAUCAUGCCACUGCACUCCAGCCUGGGCAACAAGAGUGAAACUGUCAAAAAAAAAAAAAUUUAAACACCAAAACUAACAUUCCUGCUUUCACAGAGCUUAUAUUCUAGGGGUGGACAGAGAAACGAUACAAAAUAUGCAAGAUAGUGUUAAGUACUUUGAAGAAAAGCUAUUUUGCAUAGGGUGAUUAGGAAAGGUCUCUGUGAUCAGGUGACUUUUACAAGGGAUUGUUGAGUUUGUUUUAAAGUACAGUACAGUAUCAGAUAGAUUGUAGUCCUUAAUUUUUAUUUUAUUUUUUUUGAGACAGAGUCUUUCUCUGUCUCCCUGGCUGAAGUUCAGUGGCACGAUCUUGGCUCCCUGCAACCUCUGUCCCCUGGUUCAAGCAAUUCUUCUGCCUCAGCCUCCCUAGUAGCUGGGAUUACAGGUGUGCACUACCACACUUGGCUAAUUUUUGUAUUUUCAGUAGAGACGGAGUUUUGCCAUGUUGGCCAGGCUGGUCUUGAACUCCUGACCUCAAGUGAUCCGCUGGCCUCGGCCUCCCAAAGUGCUGGGAUUACAGGCAGCACUUUGAUUACAGGCAUGAGCCACUGUGCUUGGCCCUUAAUUCUUGAUAUACUGUGUUCAGUGUUAAGAUAAUUGUACAUUUUGCUACUCCUCUACUUAGAAUCCACAAAACUUUACAAUAAAAUUCAAAUUCCUUAUCAUGGAUCCUACAUAAGGUUCCGAGACCCUGUAAUCUACCUCUGCCUUUCUUGCCAAGUUUAUCUUAUACCACCCUUCCCCUUUCUUAUUCCACUCCAGCCACAUGCACCAAAGCUGCAUUGAAUGAACGAAUGAAGUGUUGGAAGUAUCUUCCCAGGUGGCUUCUUGGGCAACAGGAAGCAAGACAGCUUACGGUCAAAGAGCUUGAGUGUUUGUGCCAGACAAAUCUGGCUUGGGUCCUGGCUGUGCUGCUUACAAGCCCUUUGACCUUGUCUAGGUCAUAUAGCCUCAGUGAGCCUCAGCAAGUCUCAGCUUCCUCAAAUGUGCAAUGGAGACUAUAUGUCUAUACUGAGGAUUAUUUUAAGGAUAAAGUUCAGAAUUACUGCAAAUUUCUUAGCACAGUGCCUGGCACAUUGUAAGCACUCAAGAAUUAGUAGUGUUAGCAUCAUCAUUGUUGUUGUUAUCAUUACUUUGGCCAAUCAACCCUCCUCUGUUAACAGAUGGCCAGAGUCAUACAGUGAGUUAGGGAUGGAGGAGGGGUGACCUGCAUCCAGGUGUUCAGACACAGAGUACAGGCUAGUGUGGGCUUUGGAGCUGAGCAGACUUGGCUCACAUUUUGGGUUAGUCAUUUCCCACAUUUGAGGCAAGUUACUUAACCUAUCUGAACUUCGAGUGCUCUGUUCUUAAAAUGAUGUAUGUAGGCCUGGCGCGGUGGCUCACGCCUGUGAUCCCAGCACUUUGGGAGGCCGAAGUGGGUGGAUCACGAGGUCAGGAGUUCAAGACCAGCCUGGCCAACAUGGUGAAACCCCAUUUCUACUAAAAAUGCAAAAUUAGCUAGGUGUGGUGGCAUGCGCCUGUAAUCCUAGCUACUCAGGAGGCUGAGGCAGGAGAAUCGCUUGAACCCAGGAGGCAGAGGUUGCAGUGAGCCAAGAUCAUGCCAUUGCACUCCAGCCUGGGUGACAGAGCAAGACUUCAUCUCCAAAAAAAAAAAAAAGUAUGUAAAGGUAGCACAGAGCUGAGCCACUGAGAGGAGCCUCACAAAUGGCAGGCAUUCCCAGCCCCUUUUGUGCUGUUGCUUUCUUCUUCCCUUCUUAACUCAG